UAUUGGAAACAAAUCCGACUCGUUUACGUCAUCGCCGAACCAAAACACAGGAUCGGGACUUGGCUGCGGCGGCGAACGUGACACACUGCUCGUAUCGCACAGUCCAUCUCAAGCUGCGGCUUUUAUCCCCGCCAGCCUCCUCCCACGCCGGCCACUUCUACAGUUCUACUCCGGUGAGCCUACGAGGCAUAGCAUAGCUCUCAUGGGUCCUCCAGUUCUUUCUACUGAUGGUGGAAGCUGCCCUUCUAACCCACCAGCUGUAUGCAGAAGUAAACUGGCUAAAUCUACAAUAGAGCUAAGGAAGCCAUUUGCUUCGGUCACCAUGAAAGAGGAACCAUUUAACUUCUUACGCACUUUAUGUGAUGGCGUGGUAGCUGGAGCUACUGCUGGAGUGGUUGUUGAAACAGUUCUUUACCCAAUAGAUACUAUAAAAACCCGGCUUCAGGCUGCUCGAGUUGGAAGCAAAAUUCAUUGGAAAGGCUUAUAUUCAGGAUUGGCUGGCAACCUGGCAGGGGUUUUACCGGCCUCUGCCAUAUUUGUGGGGAUAUAUGAACCAACCAAACAACAACUAGUGAAGAUGUUUCCAGAAAAUCUCAGUGCUGUUGCCCAUUUGACCGCUGGCGCUAUUGGUGGACUUGCUGCUUCACUUAUUCGUGUUCCAACAGAGGUUGUCAAACAAAGGAUGCAAACUGGGCAGUUUACCUCUGCACCUAAUGCUGUUCGUCUUAUUGCAGCUAAAGAAGGAAUCAGAGGCUUAUAUGCUGGUUAUAAUUCUUUUCUUUUACGAGAUCUACCUUUUGAUGCAAUUCAAUUUUGUAUAUAUGAGCAGCUCCGGAUUGGGUACAAGAUUGCAGCAAGGAGGGAAUUAAAUGAUCCAGAGAAUGCUUUAAUUGGUGCAUUUGCAGGUGCAAUAACUGGAGCUGUAACUACACCACUUGAUGUGAUGAAGACUAGAUUAAUGGUUCAGGGUUCAGCAAGUCAAUACAAGGGGCUGAUCAAUUGUGCUCAGACAAUUUUGAAAGAAGAAGGCCCAGCUGCUUUCUUAAAGGGCAUUGGACCAAGAGUAUUAUGGAUUGGCAUCGGCGGCUCAAUCUUCUUUGGCGUUCUGGAGAGGACAAAACUGUUGCUUUCCCAGAGACAUUUCGAUCAGAGAAUCAAAUCUUAGCCGUCUACAUUGCAGCAUAUUGCUGGAGUUUUCCAGCAACCGCAUCGCAGAGAUGACUAGAACUCUUCUUCCCUAGAGAUUUACAAGCAGCAGGGACUGUUUUAUCGACAUUGUUCCUAAUCAUUUCCCCUCUUGAGUAUUUUCACAAUGCUAUUAUGAUACCUCAAACACUUGGACGGCCAGAUUUGAGCUAGGGGCGCUGGUGGUCCGUUUUCGACCGUCAGAUCAUGAUGUCUCAGUUCUUAAGGAUAUUAUUAAAGGGCCGCUCGAUGAGUUGGGCUCUGUGAGCUUCCUGCGAGACCUUGAUCGAGCGAGCGAGCGAGGAUGAGCGGGAACGGAGCGAAGAAGGUAGCGGAGGUGGCGGCGAAGGCCUCUAAGUCGAUCGAUUGGGACGGGAUGGCGAAGCUUCUCGUCUCCGAUGAGGCACGCAAGGAAUUCUCGAACCUCCGCCGCGCCUUCGACGAGGUCAACCACCAAAUCCAGACCAAGUUCUCGCUGGAACCUGAACCCAUUGACUGGGACUAUUACAGAAAAGGAAUUGGUUCACACCUGGUAGAUCAGUAUAAAGAAGCAUAUGAAAGCAUUAAGAUCCCGAAGUUUGUUGACACUGUGACUCCAGAAUACAAACCCAAGUUUGAUGCUCUGCUCGUUGAGUUCAAAGAAGCAGAAAAGCAAUCUCUAGAGAGAUCAGCACAGUUGGAGAAAGAAAUUGCAGAAGUUCAGGAGAUGAAA